rnacentral:rRNA from 1 species
GACGAACCGUGCGAACGUUAUUCGGAAUCACUGGGCUUAAAGCGCGUGUAGGCGGAUGAGCACGUCUGUCGCUGAAAUCCCCCGGCUCAACCGGGGAACGGGCGGAGAUACGGCUCAUCUGGAGGGGCGUAGGGGGACCUGGAACUUCCGGUGGAGCGGUGAAAUGCGUUGAGAUCGGAAGGAACGCCCGUGGCGAAGGCGACUGCCUGGCCCAACACUGACGCUGAGGUGCGAAAGCGUGGGUAGCAAACAGG